rnacentral:rRNA from 1 species
GUCCUAAGGUCAUUCUUAACCGAAAUGAUCGAAUAGGGAAAUGCGUUAAUAUUCGUAUGCCUUUGUGCAAUAAUGGUGACGGCUUGGGCUAGUCUCACGGGUCAUAUGUCAGGCCCGAAGGUCGUAUAAGAAAUUGGAGAACCGUCAUGGUGAGAAGAUUUCGAAAUCGAUCGACAGUAUGAGAUGACGCCUAGGUCCCAUGAAAAGCCGCACAAAUGUCCGUACCUAGAACUGACACAGGUGCCCCUGGGUGAGUAGCCUAAGGUGUGACGGGAAAAAUAUCGCGAGGGAACUCGGCAAAAUAGCUCCGUAACUUCGGGAGAAGGAGUGCCAGCUUAGAGAUAAGCUGGUCGCAGUGACCAGGGGUGCCCGACUGUUUAAUAAAAACAUAGCCGACUGCCAGUCCGAAAGGAUGUGUAUAGUCGGUGAAUCCUGCUCAGUGCCGGUAUCUGAAACCAGGGUUCAACCUGGCGAAGGACCGGUAAACAGCGGGGGUAACUAUGACCCUCUUAAGGUAGCGUAAUACCUUGUCGCUUAAUUGGCGACUUGCAUGAAUGGCCCAACGAGAGUCCUACUGUCUCCGCGGUACGUCCGGCGAAAUUGACAUUACUGGCGCACAGUCCAGUACCCUCAACCUGCAAGCGAAGACCCCGUAGAGCUUUACUGCAGCCUGGCGUUGUACAAUCGCACUUCACGUGCUGAGUAGACGGGAGACGUUGAUCCACGGGACGCCAGUCCCGUGAGUAGUCGUCCAUAGAGACACCGUCCUUGGAGUGUAAUUGUACUCACUCUUCAUGAGAACACCGCUUGGUGGGCAGUUUGGGUGGGGCGCCACGCGCUCGAAAACAUAACAAGCGUGCCCAAAGGUCAGCUUAGGUGGUUCAGUCUCCACCGUUAACUGUAAGGGGAAAAGCUGGCUUGACUUGGAUCGGACCAAUAACGAUCGAAGAUGCGAAAGCACGGCCUAACGAACCAAUGUACCUCAUUUCUGGGGGUCAUUGAUAACAGAAAAGUUACCUCGGGGAUAAUUGAGUUGUCACCAGCAAGAGCACACAUCGACCUGGUGGCUUGCUACUUCGAUGUCGUCUCUUCCCAACCUCCUGGUGCAGCAGCUGGGAAGGGUGGGGUUGUUCGCCCAUUAAAGGGGAUCGUGAGAUGGGUUUAGACCGUCGUGAGACAGGUUUGUUGCUUUGCGGUUGAGGCGUGUAAGAUGCCUGAUCGGAAGGGUCCUUUAGUACGAGAGGAACGAGGACUCGGAGCCACUAGUUUACCAGUUGUCCGGCAGGGCAAUGCUGGGUAGCCACGCUCCAUGUGGAUAAGAGCUGAAAGCAUCUAAGCUCGAAGUCACCCGAAAGACGAGGCAUCUCAGGGGAUUCGUAGAAGACGAGUUUGAUAGACAGCGGGUGUAAGCACCGAGGUUCGCCGAGGUGUUCAGCCCAGCUGCACUAACCCCCCGAGCAUUCAUUUUUC